rnacentral:rRNA from 1 species
CCUACGGGAGGCAGCAGUGAGGAAUAUUGGACAAUGGGCGCAAGCCUGAUCCAGCCAUGCCGCGUGCAGGAUGACGGUCCUAUGGAUUGUAAACUGCUUUUGUACAGGAAGAAACAGUUCUACGUGUAGAACCUUGACGGUACUGUAAGAAUAAGGAUCGGCUAACUCCGUGCCAGCAGCCGCGGUAAUACGGAGGAUCCAAGCGUUAUCCGGAAUCAUUGGGUUUAAAGGGUCCGUAGGCGGUUUAGUAAGUCAGUGGUGAAAGCCCAUCGCUCAACGGUGGAACGGCCAUUGAUACUGCUAAACUUGAAUUAUUAGGAAGUAACUAGAAUAUGUAGUGUAGCGGUGAAAUGCUUAGAGAUUACAUGGAAUACCAAUUGCGAAGGCAGGUUACUACUAAUUGAUUGACGCUGAUGGACGAAAGCGUGGGUAGCGAACAGGAUUAGAUACCCUGGUAGUCCACGCCGUAAACGAUGGAUACUAGCUGUUGGAAAGANAUUAUAGUGUGUAGACGAAGUAGAGUAAGUAGUACCACCGUCGGGAGGUACGGUUACGUCGUAAGAAGUUAGAAACGUUAAAGUUAAGUUAAGUUAGUUACGGCGUUGAGAGUUGCCGACGGACGACGACGAGGGAGGAGGAG